rnacentral:rRNA from 1 species
AUUAAAAACCAAUGCCCUCUGGGCUCUCUGGUGAUUCAUGAUAUCUUCUCGAAUCGCAUGGCCUUGCGCCGGCGAUGGUUCAUUCAAAUUUCUUCCCUAUCAACUUUCGAUGUUUGGGUAUUGGCCAAACAUGGUCGCAACGGGUAACGGAGGGUUAGGGCUCGACCCCGGAGAAGGAGCCUGAGAAACGGCUACUACAUCCAAGGAAGGCAGCAGGCGCGCAAAUUACCCAAUCCCGACACGGGGAGGUAGUGACAAUAAAUACUGAUACAGGGCUCUUUCGGGUCUUGUAAUUGGAAUGAGUACAAUUUAAAUCCCUUAACGAGGAACAAUUGGAGGGCAAGUCUGGUGCCAGCAGCCGCGGUAAUUCCAGCUCCAAUAGCGUAUAUAAAAGUUGUUGUGGUUAAAAAGCUCGUAGUUGAACCUUGGGCCUGGCUGGCCGGUCCGCCUCACCGCGUGUACUGGUCCGGCCGGGCCUUUCCCUCUGUGGAACCUCAUGCCCUUCACUGGGCGUGAC